rnacentral:lncRNA from 1 species
GGGUAAGCUAGUCAGGGCAGUGCUGGAGAGCUGGCCCUGAUGGCAUGAAUAUGGGAGAGCUGCCAGGCUCAUCAACCAGCUACCCAGGCCCAGAUCCAGGGCUUUGGGUUGGCCACCUCAAUAUCUACCCCAUCUAAGAACUUUGAUGGUUCGUGAAGGGGCUGGUCCUGCAGAUCCAAAGCUCCAGGACAACAACAUAGUUCCGGUGAUGAUCCAGUAUUAAUAGUAUAGUAGAAGCCAGAGGUGUCAAACCAGAUCAUUGCAAAGUUCAUUGCAAUAAACACUUCAAGUAAAGAUGUAUGGACAAAAGGCUAUACUGUGGGGAUGCACUGUAACACACCGCAGCUGCCAUGGUGAAAUACUUUCUUGUUUCUUGUUUCUUAUUCUUAUUUUAGUUUUUAAUUUUCUUUUGGUGGGGAGGUUGCAAGGGUAGAGGGCAGGUGCAAAGGGACAGGGAAAUUAGUGGGAUUGGGGUGCAUGGUGUGUUGUGCGUCUUGCAUGUGCUGUGCUCCUGGAGGCCAGAAGACGGUGUUGGAUGUUAUGGAUGGCUGUGAGUGGCCACAGGGUGCUCAGAAUCGAAUCUGGGUCCUCCAGAAGAGCAGCCAGAACUCAUAACUCCUGAGCUAUCUCUCCAGCUGUGACAGAUGUUUAUACUAGUAUUUCUAUCAGGCUUGAAUCAUGCAGGUGGCAGACUCUCACUGCCUUUGCUGGGACUUGGGGGCUGCUGGAGGGAGCUGAGGUCACUCUAGAUCUGGGAAGCCUCCAGACAUCUUAAUUGCUGCCUUGCCUUUCUUCAUGGCUUUGCCCUCUAGAGUGCAGCCUCCCUUGGAUCUGGAAGGAGCCAAGGAGAAUGAAGGGAGGCCUCUCUUCGGCUGGGGUCUCAGCAAGCUGAUGCAGGCCAUGAGACAGGGUGGGCACUCACUUCCUCCCUGGGUCCCACGUGUGGUAGGAAUGACAUUACUCUCC